rnacentral:rRNA from 1 species
GACGAACGCUGGCGGCGUGCUUAACACAUGCAAGUCGAACGGAAAGGCCCUGCUUGCAGGGUACUCGAGUGGCGAACGGGGGUGUAAAACGUGGGUGAUAUCCGCCCCACAUCGGGGGAAAACUUGGGGAAUAGGGGUACUACUGCGGAGGAGCCAUUUUUAUGGAGGGGGUUGGUAGGUAUGUUCGGUGUGGGGUGCACUUGCGGGCUGUCAGCCUGUUGGUGGGGUAGUGGGUUACCAAGCCGGCGACGGGUGGGCGGCCGGUGGGGGUGGACGGCCGCAUUGGGACUGAGAGACGGCCCCGACACCGACGGGAGGGAGCAGUGGGGAAGAGUGCACAAUGGGCGCCAGGCUGGUGCAGCGACGCCGCGGGGCGGAUGACGGCCUUCGGGUUGGAAACUCCUUUUGCUAGGGACGAAGCUCUUUGUGACGGUACCUAGAGAAGAAGCACCGGCUAACUACGUG